rnacentral:rRNA from 1 species
GUAACGCAUCUAUAUACAACUUUCAGCAACGGAUCUCUUGGCUCUCGCAU